rnacentral:rRNA from 1 species
GGCGAGCCUGAUGGAGCACGCCGCGUGCAGGAUGAAGGCCUUCGGGUUGUAAACUGCUUUUAUAAGUGAGGAAUAUGACGGUAACUUAUGAAUAAGGAUCGGCUAACUACGUGCCAGCAGCCGCGGUCAUACGUAGGAUCCGAGCGUUAUCCGGAGUGACUGGGCGUAAAGAGUUGCGUAGGUGGUUUGUUAAGUAGAUAGUGAAAUCUGGCGGCUCAACCGUACAGGCUAUUAUCUAAACUGACAAACUCGAGAGUGGUAGAGGUUACUGGAAUUUCUAGUGUAGGAGUGAAAUCCGUAGAUAUUAGAAGGAACACCAAUGGCGUAGGCAGGUAACUGGACCAUUUCUGACACUAAGGCACGAAAGCGUGGGGAGCGAACCGGAUUAGAUACCCGGGUAGUCCACGCCGUAAACGAUGGAUACUAGCUGUUGGAGGUAUCGACCCCUUCAGUAGCGAAGCUAACGCGUUAAGUAUCCCGCCUGUGGAGUACGGUCGCAAGACUAAAACAUAAAGGAAUUGACGGGGACCCGCACAAGCGGUGGAUCGUGUUCUUUAAUUCGAUGCUAAACGAAGAACCUUACCAGGGCUUGACAUCCAGGGAAUUUUUGGGAAACCAAUUAGUGCCUUUUGGAACCCUGUGACAGGUGAUGCAUGGCCGUCGUCAGCUCGUGUCGUGAGAUGUUUGGUUAAGUCCAUCAACGAGCGCAACCCUUGUACUUAGUUGAAUUUUUCUAGGUAGACUGCCCCGGUAACGGGGAGGAAGGAGGGGAUGAUGUCAGGUCAGUAUUUCCCUUACGUCCUGGGCUAGAAACACGAUACAAUGGCAAGUACAAUGCGCAGCGAAGCCGCGAGGUGGAGCAAAUCGCAUCAAAGCUUGUCCCAGUUCGGAUUGGANGCUGAACUCNCCUCCAUGAAGUCGGA